ACCACAGAUCGAUCAGUAUCC
rnacentral:miRNA from 1 species